rnacentral:snRNA from 1 species
UCCGUUCCAGGGCACAGGGAGAUACCAGGAUCAAGAAGGUGGUUUUCCCAGAGGGAGGCUUAUCCAUUGCAAUCUGCAUGUGCUGACCCCUGUGAUUUCCCCAAAUGUGGGAAACUCAACUGCCUAAUUCGUGGUAGUCGGGGGGUGUGUGUCCAUGCUUUUCCCUGA